GGGCCGGUAGUUCAAUGGUAGAACACCGGUUUUGCACACCGGAGGUUGUGGGUUCGAUUCCCACCCGGUCCA
rnacentral:tRNA from 1 species